rnacentral:rRNA from 1 species
UAUCUCUGUAGAGUCUGCAUAUCAAUAAGCGGAGGAAAAGAAACUAACUAGGAUUCCCUCAGUAACGGCGAGUGAAGCGGGAAGAGCUCUAAAUUUGAAAUCUUCAAGGUUCUACCUUGACGAAUUGUAGUUUAAAGAAGUGUUUUCUGUUGGAGUUUUGGUAAAAGUUCUUUGGAAUAGGACAUCAUAGAGGGUGAGAAUCCCGUAUUUGACCAUUAUUUCCAGCUUUGUGAUACACUUUCAAAGAGUCGGAUUGUUUGGGAAUGCAGUCCAAAAUGGGUGGUAAAUUUCAUCUAAAGCUAAAUACUGGCGAGAGACCGAUAGCGAACAAGUACCGUGAGGGAAAGAUGAAAAGAACUUUGAAAAGAGAGUUAAACAGUACGUGAAAUUGUCAAAAGGGAAGCGUUUGACACCAGUGUUGUUUUCUCGAAAAAUCAAUUAAAAAAGGCAGGAUUUUGUGUUGUAUUGACUUUAUCAGCUUUCUGCACUCUUUUCUUGUCUUUUUUUAAUGCACUUUUCGUUUAACAAGUCAACAUCAAUUUCUUUUGUUGUAAAAGGGUCAUUGGAAGGUGGCUUUCUUUUCGGAGAAAGUGUUUAUAGCCUUUGGCCUCUGCAAUCGGAGAGAUUGAGGUCUGCAGCGUAGAUCCUUCGGGGUUAGAUACAUUUGUGCUAAGUUAUAGCCUUUCAUAGACAACUUGUUGACUAUGAUCAGUCAUGUAGCUUACUCGCUUAUGCUAUUUUACCUACGCUUAGGAUGUUGAAGAUGUAGCACAUCAU